AUGGAAUGGUUAAAAAAUAGAGCGCAUGGGGCUGCUGACGAUUUUCACUGCGCUGGGUUGAUAGAGACAGCCACUUUGAAAGGCCCGUCCGUCCCGGCGGGGUCGGGCAGAGGCUGCUGGUCAAGCAGCACACUCUUAGGCCCUGCCCCUGUGGAACGCUUCCUCUCCCAAGAGAGCCGCAGAGCUCGAGCAAGAACCAAACAAGGCCACGAACGCCCCAUCUGUGUCCUUUCCGAGAGGCCGGCGCGUUCCACUCUGACCCGGCUCCCAGGACCUUGAUAAUUGCAGUGGCCUCGCAGUGGCUUCCCAGGGAGCUAUGUGGAAGAUUGUGAUGCUCAAGUCAGUAAAGACGCUCGGCUGCAAAGACUGCUGUGACUGUGAACAUUGUGAGCCAUUUCUGCUCAGAAACAGGAAUUGGGAGUGAGGAGCGUCUGUGCAUUUGCGGAACUGAAUGGGUCGUUGAGUUCCUUUGAGCUCAAACACCCUGCAUUUCAUGAUCCACGCAAGAUUAUAUGCAAAGUCAGCUUAAUUUAGUUCAGGAGGAUAUGUCAAGUGUCUGCCAUGUUAGGUACCGAGCAGAGUGCGCUACGAAGAGAAAUAACUAGCCUCAGUCCUUGCCCACAGAAGCGGGUGGGGAGUGCUAUCUCCAUUUAUCGUGAAUAUUAUCGCCAGGUAGCAGAUAACCGAAUCCAAGGCUCCCCCAGUGAGUGGAGGAGCGGGGCCUCAGACUAACAGGACUCUAAGUGCUUUGCACCUGUAACUGUCCCUCACUACCCUUCAUUCAGAAAGGGAAGGGAAGGGCGAUGCUGGACAGGGACCUUGGGUGCUUCCCCAUGCAGGGUGCACCCCAGCAGAGGCCCCGAAAAGCCCGUGAGUGGUAUUAGAAAUGGGGGGAAAGGGGCAGGACAGGGAGCAGAGGGGUCCAGAGCAGGCUUCACCUAUCACAUGUGGGUGGCUCAGGCCACACUCACACUUUUAUCCAGAUGCUCAAUCCUAAGAUUCUGUCCCCUGCUCAGCGAUGAUGGGGUUGGACAGAGGCCACCAGCCUCCUGGGAGCGCGCCGGGCCCGGCCAGUCGCCAUGAAGGUGCUCUCUGAAUGCCGCCUUCACACGUGCACUCGUGAGGUUUGGACUUCCCAUCUCCAUUCGGUUUGAAAUUGCUCUGAUUUUUAAGUAAUAAGUUUUGCUAAGUAGGAAGGUUUUCUGAGUAAGGCGGAUGGCUGUUUUCUGGCGCUGCCAUAUGUACGCAUCUUGACGUGGCCGCAAAGCCAGAGUGUCGUCUCUGGCCUCUACAAGUUCAGACUCUUAGAAGUGAACAGGCCCUGAGAAAACUGUUCCGUCACAAGACUCACACAGGGCCGACAGACACGAGAAAUGGAAGCCAUUGGUUAAUGAUGAGUUACGCACCGCGUGCAACGAGCGCCCCACGCAUCGUACACCUCGGCAAAGUCAGCGGGGCAGGGCAUCCUCUUCGUGGUACUGAUGACCCUGGAAAACCAACCAACUGUCAGAAGGGCGGAGCAGAUGUGGCUCAAGCCGUUGAGUGCCCGCCUCCCACAUGGGAGGUCCCAGACUCGGUACCCAGUGCCCCCUAAAGAAAAAUGAACAAUGAGCAGACAACAAGCAGACAGUGAACAAAAACAAACCAUCAAGGAAGCAAAUGUGGAUCAAGAAGUUGGGAGACUGCCUGCCACAUGGGAGGUCCCGUGUUCAGUUCCUGGUGCCUCCUAAAGAAUACAAGCAGGCACAAUGAGCUGACACAGCGAGUAGAUGCAAUAAGCUGACACAAUGAGCAGGGAGUGGAUGUGGCUCUUGCAGUUGGGCACCUGCCUCCCAUAAGGGAGGUCCAGGAUUAUAUUCCCAGUGCUUCCCAAAGAAGACAAGCAGACAGUGAGCAGAACUAACAGACAAAAUGAACAGAUGCUAUGAGUGAACACAAUGAGCAGGCAGCUGAAGGAGCCAUCUUGGGAGGGAAACGAGCAAACAACGAACAAACAACGAGCAAACACUAGAGGAAGCCAACUCAGGGGAGCUGAUGUGUCUCCGUGGCUGAGCACCAGCCUCCUGCACACGAGGUUCUGGGUUCAAUCCCCAGUCCCAGUACCUGAAAAAAAAAAGUCAGGUUCACCAAAGGCAAUCCCAAAGUUGGAGAAACAGCUAAUGGAACACGUUAUUUAUUUUGGACCAUAGUCACCUUCACUUAAAAUAUAGAAUGUUGGAACUAGACAGGACAGGAUCUUAGCUAACUCUCUCAUUUCACAAAAGGGGAAACUGAGGCCCAGAAAGAACUGACUUAUCCAAGCGCACAGCAUUCAUUGGCUUUUCUCUCUCCUUCCACAAAACCUUUACUGAGUGCCAACCAGGAGAAAAGCAUCGUUCUGGGCGAAGUGGACCCUUCCUUCCCUAAGCUGAGAAGUCGAGCUGGAGAGAAGGAUAUGAACAGAACCAGUUCCAGUGUGAUCAGACCGGGGCUGACAAAGGUUUGCUGUCAAGGGCUGGACUGUUAGUGGCUUGUACUCUGCCGACCACGGCCUCUCUGUCACCGUGACUCAAUCCCACCAUUGUAUAGCACAAAAGCAGCCAGAAACAAUACACAAAGGAGAAGAGUAACUGUGUUCCAGUAAAACUUUAUCUGUGGCCACUCGAGGUUAAAUUUCAUGUAUUCCUCAUAUGUCAUGAAUUAUCGUUCUUCUCUUGACUCUUUCCCCCCACCCCUUUUAAAAUGUAAGAACUGUUUUUAACUUGAGUGUCACACACAAGCAGGUGGCAGGCUGGAUUGAACACUUCGGCAGGCGUUUGCCAACCCUGACUUAGAUGAACAAAAGUUCACUGUCCUUGAAGGGAUGAUCCAGGUGCUGAUCAGAUUCUUUCACACUGUUCACAAAGAAUAGUAAGAGACAAGACAGGAAGAGAUCUGAACACCACGGCCCCUGCCCCCCGUUCCACUGUGAGCUAAGCCCCAAAUGCCCCUGCAAUCUUGAGUCAAUGCUUCAUUCAGUUUCGCGUUACGGAGACUCUUGAGUCAGCGCCCUUUAAAGCGCAGCUUCCUCUGAAGAGCUAGCCGUGGCUGCAGGGUGCCAGCGGGCUGCAGAGGACUUGGUUCUAGCGGGCUCCAGCAUUCGGGCGCCCUGGGCGUAGCCUGGGGGAGCUGCCCGCUUCCCCUGCUCGACACAAGGGCACAGGCUGUGUUCUGUUGAUCUUUGUAUGUCAGCCCUUGGCAGCAGGGUCUGGCACUUUAGGGGACUAGGCUUUGUUGUGGGCCAGUUUCCCUGACAAAGUAUAUGCUCUUUUUUUUUUAAGAUUUAUUUUUUAUUUAUUUCUCUCCCCUUCCCCCCCUAAACCCCCGUUGUCUGUUCUCUGUGUCUAUUUGCUGCAUAUUCUUUGUCCGCUUCUGUUGUUGUCAGCGGCACGGGAAUCUGUGUUUCUUUUCGUUGCGUCAUCUUGUUGUGUCAGCUCUCCGUGUGGGCGGCGCCAUUCCUGGGCAGGCUGCACUUUCUUUCGCGCUGGGUGGCUCUCCUUACGGGGCACACUCCUUGCGCGUGGGGCUCCCCUACACGGGGAACACACCUGCGUGGCAGGGCACUCCUUGCGCACAUCAGCACUGCGCAUGGGCCAGCUCCACACGGGUCAAGGAGGCCCGGGGUUUGAACCGUGGACCUCCCAUGUGGUAGAUGGAUGCCCCAACCACUGGGCCAAGUCCGCUUCCCCAGCAUAUGCUCUUUUAUAGGGCAAUUCUCUGGGCCUCAGUGUCCUC
rnacentral:lncRNA from 1 species